rnacentral:rRNA from 1 species
GACGAACGCUGGCGGCGUGCUUAACACAUGCAAGUCGAACGGAAAGGCCUCAGCUUGCCGGGGUACUCGAGUGGCGAACGGGUGAGUAACACGUGGGUGAUCUGCCUUGCACUCUGGGAUAAGCUUGGGAAACUGGGUCUAAUACCGGAUAUGAACUGCCUUUAGUGUGGUGGUUGGAAAGUUUUUUCGGUGCAAGAUGAGCUCGCGGCCUAUCAGCUUGUUGGUGGGGUAAUGGCCUACCAAGGCGUCGACGGGUAGCCGGCCUGAGAGGGUGUACGGCCACAUUGGGACUGAGAUACGGCCCAGACUCCUACGGGAGGCAGCAGUGGGGAAUAUUGCACAAUGGGCGGAAGCCUGAUGCAGCGACGCCGCGUGGGGGAUGACGGCCUUCGGGUUGUAAACUCCUUUCGACAGGGACGAAGCUUUUUGUGACGGUACCUGUAUAAGAAGCACCGGCUAACUACGUG